rnacentral:sRNA from 1 species
GGCAAGAGGUUCGACCCGAGCGAAGCGAGAGAACGUUGCUUCAGCAACGGCCCGCAGGGCGAGCCACGCAGUGGCGAGUCAUCCUCUAUCACCGACCA